CGGCAUGACCAUUUUGGGGCAUUGUCCUGCCAGAGGCAUUGUCAACCCUGAUGAUUUGAAAGCCCCCGCGGCGAUGUGACAUCCUCACGGCAGCUCUGACAGCCUACAGUGAGUUGACAGUUCCUCACUUGUCCGCGCCAUUAAUGACGGCGCCAUACCUAGCUCCACUAUAUAUACCGGGGAAGGCAACAGUGCAAGGGGUCGAUCCGUCCGUCUCUCCCACAUACGCAGGCUCGCUCCUCUCUCUUCCUCUCCCUCUCUCCUUCUCAGAGCUCUCUGUCUGCAUUUCACUGUUGCCCAGUCACCUCUCUGACUUGACCGUCGGAGGGUCCCCGCCGGAGCCGCCUCCGGUCAGUGCGGACUUCCUUUUGCAGGUGCACGCUUCCCGGCGAUCGGGCGACGAGGCGAUUGGCCGCAACAGAGGUAAAUCUUUGAAGCUCAUUUCUUUGCUCAUCUCGGUGCCUGAUGCUCGGCCAAAAUACCUUAUAUUGAAUGAU
rnacentral:lncRNA from 1 species